UACGAAGGUCCCUAGCGUUGCUCGGAAUCACUGGGCGUAAAGCGCACGUAGGCGGCCAACUAAGUCAGACGUGAAAUCCCCAGGCUCAACCUGGGAACUGCGUCUGAUACUGGAUGGCUUGAAUCCGGGAGAGGGAUGCAGAAUUCCAGGUGUAGCGGUGAAAUGCGUAGAUAUCUGGAGGAAUACCGGUGGCGAAGGCGGCUCACUGGCCCGAUACUGACGCUGAGGCACGAAAGCGUGGGGAGCAAACAGG
rnacentral:rRNA from 1 species